rnacentral:tRNA from 2 species
GGGGACGUAGCUCAGCUGGGAGAGCACCGCCCUUGCAAGGCGGGGGUCGUGAGUUCGAAUCUCAUCGUCUCCA